GCGGCAGAAGCAUGGGUGUGUGUAGGUCUCUGUGGCCUGGGGACUUUUUGAAGGCACCCAGUACUGAUCUCCACAGUGGCUAGGCUAGUCGGCGUUUUCACCAGCACUGAUCAAGGGCUUCAUGUAUUACACAUCCUCUCCAGCAUCGAUUAUUUGCUUUUUAAAAAAGCAUUAUAUUUAAUUUUGUGCAUGCAUGUACAUGUGUCUGUGUACGUGCAUAUGCAUGCAUAUGUCUGUGUGGUGUGUGUGCCUGCGUGUCUGGGUGUGUGUACUGGUGCCUGUGUGUGUAUUGGUGCCUGGUGUAUACUGGUGCCUGGGUGUACUGGUGCCUGGUGUGUACUGGUGCCUGGGUGUACUGGUGCCUGUGUGUGUACUGGUGCCUGGUGUUGGUGCCUGGUGUGUACUGGUGCCUGGUGUGUACUGGUCUCUGGGAAGGUCAGAGGCAGCAGAUCCUCUGGAAUUGGAGUGACAGGCAGUUAUGAGUCACUCAGCUCGUGUGCUGGAAUCUGGCUGAGCUCAGGUCCUCUACAAGGAUGGUAUAACCACCGAGCCAUCUCUGCAGCCUGUUUUCUUAAUGACUGUUGUCCUGGCUGCAGUGAGAUGGAAUCGUAGUGUGCUUCUGAUUCACUCUUCUUUGAUGGGCGGUGAAGUUAGCUGGUCAGUUCUUUUCAAGUCUCUUGGCCAUUUGCAUUCCAUCCCUGUGAACUCUCCUCAGUUCACUGGCCUGGUUUUUUGUUUUUUUUUUGUUUUUUGUUUUUUGUUUUUUUUGACCAGAUGAUUAUGCAAAUACAUGGAUACGGAAGAGUAUAUCCUCCCAAAUGACCCAUGGUUCACUAAGGAAGUCAGAGAGGGAAAUAAAGAGUUGACAGAGAGCUGGUAAGAUGGUUCAAUGGUUAGAGGGUCUUAAUCAUUUGUUUUCAUUUACUGAUCUGGAGUUUGAUAUCUCUUACUCUAUUGAAGGUAGGAAGUGCAUCAUUCCUUCCGUGAUCCCUCUGGCUUUUUUUUAAUGCAUUAACCUGCAGACUACUUUCAGCGUGUCGCCUAGGUUUGGAUGCAGUCACCUGCAGACUACUUUCAGUGUGUCGCCUAGGUUUGGAUGUGCUGAGCUUUCUUUUUCAGUUAGCUCUAGAAAGCUUUUAAUUCCUUUCUUCUUGAUUUCUUAAGCAACCGAUUCAUCAUGCAGUAGAGUGUGGUUUAAUACCCAGGGUAUUUGUGUGCAUUCUAAUUUUUCUUCUUGUUGAUUUCUAGCUCUCUUCUAAUGUAAUCAAAUGUUAUUUCAGUUUUUCAAUAUUUGUGGUGAUUUGAUUUGUAGCCUAUUAUGUAUCCAUUUCAAAGACAGUUCCAUGAGCUCCCAAGAAGAAUGGGUAUUGUUGGGGCCAAAGAGAUCCUUAUACUCAGAGAAGCACCAGGAGAACAAGGAAUGUCAACCAUGCAGGACUGUCUUCUUGAUGAAGGCCGUAAAAAUCAAAACCCUGUAUUCUAUUCAGAAACCUGAGAGAUGUUGUUAACCAUCUAGUGGUCUUUUUGCUAUCCGUGGAAACGUCGCCCACCUUUUUGCUAUAGAUGCAAACCUCACCCUAAUUCCCCGGAAUUAUCUGUUAGCCAUUCUUUGGGGAGAUGUCACAUGUAGUUUAUGGCCUGCAGACCUCUAUGCUGUCUUGGUCAGAGACCACACUAGAUCCUAGGACUUUUAGUAUAGAACCCACCUUCAUGGUCUAAUGUACUUUGUAAAGGUGUCUCUAUGUGGUCACACCUUGAGUUUUACUGUGUACCUGGAAUUGGACUGAUAAUUGCCCGGAAACCUUUUCCCAAACUGUGCUGUGUUUUAAGUAUGCUGACAGAGAACCUCUGACACUGGACGCCACCCAGUCUGAUCCUGGCUGACAAAGUCAGUCUGCACUGGAUUUUCAUUUCCAUGUCUCUGUGUAGUGUGCUUCACUGUCUGACAGUGGCAGGGACCCUCUCGGAUAUUCAUUCUGGAGUGUAGGGAUGGGAUGUUCCGAAGAUGUGUCUUUGGUCCAUUUGAUCAAUGAUGCCAUUUAACUGAGAUUUCUCUGUUUGUUUUUUCCUCGGGCUGACCUGUCUGUUUGGAUGACUAGGAUAUUGAAGUCACCGCUAUUAUUGUGUGUGGGGUGACCUGCGACCUUACGUUGAGUAGCAUUUGUUUUAUGAAAUUGGGUGCAUUUCUGUUGGAAUUGUGGUGCCCUUUCGGUGAGCUGCUUCCCUUUUCAGUAUGAAAUGACUUUUAUUGCCUCUAAGUUUUGUUUGAAGUCUAUCUUUGACAGAUAUUGUAACAGUGACACCUGCUUGCUUUCUGAGUCCUUUUGCUUGGAAUACUUUCAACAACAACAACAACAACAACAAAACUUCCUUUACCCCAAGGUAGCAUCUUUCUUUUAA
rnacentral:lncRNA from 1 species